AUUGAACGCUGGCGGCAUGCAUUACACAUGCAAGUCGGACGAGUGUCGAACGGGUGAGUAUCUUAUCGGAACGUACCGAGUACUGGGGGAUAACUACUCGAAAGAUUAGCUAAUACCGCAUAUUAUUCGAGCGGCCGAUACCUGAUUAGCUGGUUGGUGGGGUAAAGGCCUACCAAGGCGACGAUCAGUAGCGGGUCUGAGAGGAUGAUCCGCCACAGUGGGACUGAGACACGGCCCAGACGCCUACGGGAGGCAGCAGUGGGGAAUUUUGGGCAAUGGGCGCAAGCCUGAUCCAGCCAUGCCGCGUGUCUGAAGAAGGCCUUCGGGUUGUAAAGGACUGUUGUCAGGGAAGCGGUACCUGAAGAUGAAGCACCGGCUAACUACGUGCCAGCCGCCGCGGUAAUAC
rnacentral:rRNA from 1 species